GAGAGAACGAACAAGAGGAAAGAAAGUUCAUUUAAGUGGAGAAAGAUAUAAGAAGAUGUACUGUCCAUUCUGUGGUGCCAGCGUGACAUCUUCGCAUGGCUUUUGUGGUGUCUGUGGCAGAGACAUCACAUUUCUAAAAGAUGUGGCUAACAAAGUCCCUGAGGAGAUGCCCACCACUAGUGCGCAUCUAAGUGCACAGCCUAGCACCAGUGCAGCAGGAAGCUCAGCUGUAGAGUCCUUUCAAAAAUAU